GGCUGUGGCUCAGUGGCAGAGCAUCUGCUUGACAUACAGAAGGCCCUGGGUUCAAUUCCUGGCAUCGCCA